GAGCAGCCAUGCUGGCUGCCAGCUCCUCCGGCUGCUUGUCCUUGAUGGAAAAGCUUUCCCUAGGAACAAAGGACGUGCCAGCUCCGAGUCACAGCCGUUUUAGAAUCUCCCUUCUCAAGGUGGCACAGCACAGGCUUUGGUGGUUGUGCCAGCCUUCUCAGCACUUCCCUGGGCUUCUUCCAUUUGGAGCCCUUUCCCCUCUUCCCCACGCACCCCAUCACACCAGCCAGCUGCUGGGAUCUGCUGUUCCUCCUGGGAGCUCUGGCUUUGCUGGAGUCUCUUGCCUGGAAGAGGGGCCCACCACCUCCCGAAGACGUCGGGCUGCUCGGGGAGCUGGAGACACAGAGUCCUGCCUGCGGCUGUCCUUGUCCUGAACGGAGCGGACGGUCAGUCAGACUCGCUGGGAAAGGUGCUGGCUUGCCUGGAUCCCAGGUGGAGAGGAAAUAGCAGCCCCCUGGAGCUGCUGGGGCUCCCUGCUGAAUGCAAGUUCACGUCCUGAGACCUUUUCCAAAGCACGAAGAGGAAAAUCUGCCUGGGGCCGUGGGGAAGCGGUGAGUCCACA
rnacentral:lncRNA from 1 species